AYGGYGGAGACCUAGGCACUCAGAGACGAAGAAGGGCGCAGAUACCGGCGAUACGCUUCGGGGAGCUGGCAACAAGCUUUGAUCCGGAGAUUCCCGAAUAGGGCAACCUCAUAGAACUACCUAUAUAAUUCAUAGUUAGGUAAGAGGCAACCCAGUGAACUGAAACAUCUAAGUAGCUGGAGGAAAAGAAAGCAAACGCGAUUCCCGUAGUAGCGGCGAGCGAACCGGGAACAGCCUAAACCUACGUCGCAAGAUGUAGGGGUCGUGGGAGGACAAAUUUAUUUAUAACACAAAUAAAAUAAAAUUUUAUUUUUAAUACGAAGCAGCUGAAUCCUGCACCAUAGAUGGUGAAAGUCCAGUAGUAAAAAGAAAAUUGAUUUUAAUUAGUCUAAUCCCGAGUAGCAUGGGGCACGUGAAAUCCCGUGUGAAUCAGCGAGGACCACCUCGUAAGGCAAAAUACUCCUGAGUGACCGAUAGCGAAAUAGUACCACGAGGGAAAGGUGAAAAGAACCCCUGUUGGGGAGUGAAAUAGAACAUGAAACCGUAUGCUGACAAGCAGUGGGAGCAAGUAUGCUUGUGACCGCGUGCCUGUUGAAGAAUGAGCCGGCGACUUAUAGGAAGUGGCCGGGUUAAGGAGUAAAAUCCGGAGCCCAAGCGAAAGCGAGUCUGAAUAGGGCGCAAAUGGUCACUUCUUAUGGACCCGAACCCGGGUGAUCUAUUCAUGACCAGGAUGAAGCUUGGGUAACACCAAGUGGAGGUCCGAACCGACCGAUGUUGAAAAAUCGGCGGAUGAGUUGUGAAUAGGGGAGAAAUUCCAAUCGAACUCGGAGCUAGCUGGAUCUCCCCGAAAUGCGUUGAGGCGCAGCGGUAACGAUGAACUAUCUUGGGGUAAAGCUACUGUUUCGAUGCGGGCUGCGAAAGUGGUACCAAGUCGUGGCAAACUCAGAAUACAAGAUAUGUCUUCCGUAAACCAGUGAGACAGUGGGGGAUAAGCUUCAUUGUCAAGAGGGAAACAGCCCAGAUCACCAGCUAAGGCCCCUAAAUGGUCACUAAGUGGUAAAGGAUGUGAGAAUGCUGAAACAACCAGGAGGUUUGCUUAGAAGCAGCCACCCUUCAAAGAGUGCGUAAUAGCUCACUGGUAAAGCGUUCUUGCGCCGAUAAUGGCCGGGACUAAGUGACCUGCCGAAGCUGUGAUAUAAUUUAUUUAAAAUUAUAGGUAGGGGAGCGUUCUGCUCUCGGGUGAAGUUUUCACGUAAGUGGGGAUGGACGGUGCAGAAGUGAGAAUGUCGGCUUGAGUAACGAAAACAUUGGUGAGAAUCCAAUGCCCCGAAAACCUAAGGGUUCCUCCACUAGGUUCGUCCAUGGGGGGUUAGUCAGGACCUAAGAUCAGGCCAAACGGCGUCGUCGAUGGAAAACAGGUUAAUAUUCCUGUACUAAUUAAAUUAUGAUCUGAGGGACGAAGGAGGCUAAGCUAGAACUGUUUUUGGAUUGCAGUGGAAGCGUUUAGACGUUGAGAGGUAGAACAAAAGCUACCUCGAGUGGAGACGUGAUCCCUAUUUGAUGGUUCGCCGUCGAGUAGCUAGUGAUGUCAUACUUCCAAGAAAAGCUCAUACAUCUUUAUAAUUUAAUUACCUGUACCUGAAACCGACACAGGUAGGUUGGUAGAGAAUACCAAGGGGCGCGAGAGAACUCUCUCUAAGGAACUCGGCAAACUGGCCCCGUAACUUCGGAAGAAGGGGCGCCCAAAAUUCAUUUUUUGGGUCGCAGUGACCAGGCCCAGGCGACUGUUUACCAAAAACACAGGUCUCCGCAAAGUCGUAAGACAAUAUAUGGUGGCUGACGCCUGCCCAGUGCCGGAAGGUUAAGGAAGUUGGUUAUUUCGUAAGAAAAAAGCUGACGACCGAAGCCCCGGUGAACGGCGGUCGUAACUAUAACGAUCCUAAGGUAGCGAAAUUCAUUGUCGAGUAAGUUUCGACCUGCACGAAAGGCGUAACGAUCUGGGCGCUGUCUCGGAGAGAGGCUCGGUGAAAUAGACUUGUCCCGUGAAGAUGCGGACUACCUACACCUGGACAGAAAGACCCUAUGAAGCUUGACUGUAUCUUGGAAUUGGGUUUGGGCUUUUCUUGCGCAGCCUAGGUGGGAGGCUAUGAAGAUUACCUUCUGGGGUAAUUAGAGCCGUCAUUGAGAGACCACUCUGGAAGAGCUAGAAUCCUAAUGGGGAUCCUUGAAUCAGGACCCUUGACAGUUUCAGGUGGGCAGUUUAUUUGGGGCGAAUGCCUCCUAAAAGGUAACGGAGGCGUGCAAAGGUUCCCUCAGUCUGGACGGAAAUCAGACAUUGAGUGUAAAGGCAAAAGGGGGCUUGACUGCAAGACCUACAAGUCGAGCAGGGGCGAAAGCCGGCCUUAGUGAUCCGACGGUGCCGCGUGGAAGGGCCGUCGCUCAACGGAUAAAAGUUACUCUAGGGAUAACAGGCUGAUCUUCCCCAAGAGUUCACAUCGACGGGAAGGUUUGGCACCUCGAUGUCGGCUCAUCACAUCCUCGGUCUGUAGUAGGUCCGAAGGGUUGGGCUGUUCGCCCAUUAAAGUGGUACGUGAGCUGGGUUCAAAACGUCGUGAGACAGUUCGGUCCAUAUCCG
rnacentral:rRNA from 1 species